rnacentral:rRNA from 1 species
GACGAACGCUGGCGGCGUGCUUAACACAUGCAAGUCGAACGGAGAGGCCCUGCUUUUGUGGGGUGCUCGAGUGGCGAACGGGUGAGUAACACGUGAGUAACCUGCCCUUGACUUUGGGAUAACUUCAGGAAACUGGGGCUAAUACCGGAUAGGAGCUCCUGCUGCAUGGUGGGGGUUGGAAAGUUUCGGCGGUUGGGGAUGGACUCGCGGCUUAUCAGCUUGUUGGUGGGGUAGUGGCUUACCAAGGCUUUGACGGGUAGCCGGCGUGAGAGGGUGACCGGCCAAGUGGGAACGGAAAUGGGGCCCGGCCCCAGGGGGGGGGAGGGAGGGGGGAAUGUGGAAAAGGGGGGGAAGGCGGGAGGCAGACGCGCGGGGGGGGGGAGGACGGACUUGGGGUUGAACACCGCUUGCGCCGGUGAGGAGGGGGGGGGAAGGGAAGGGGGAAAAGAAGACCCGGCAAACAACGUC